AUCUCAGCGAGUGCUGACACAGAAGAGAGCUUCUGGGGGAAGCGAAGCGUGUGGAUCAAUAUCAGAACAGAUGCAAAGGUCACCUGUCUCAGAAGGAUGGAAAACCCUGGAAUCCAAAGCGAUGCGGCCAGGCUGAUCUGCAUCUGUACGCUGCCUGUGGCAUGCAUGCCCUGUGAUGGCCUGACAUCCUGCCCGGAAGCGCCCCAGCGUUGUGCUCCAGUCACCAGACAGAGUGAAGAUGGAUUCCAGAGCACCCACUGGCUCCAAGGCAGGCAAACAGGAGGGUGGAGGUCCAUUCCAUUCAGUCGCUACCUGAUGGAUGGCCUCUCACAGGAUACUCUGACUCAGCCCAUUCUGUCCCCGAGGUCUACUCACCGAGCCGAUGUCCAGAUCCAUCUCAGCCUGAACAGGCACUGGUGCAAAAAGUCACUGACUUCAAAGAGGAACUAUGGCCAGCUAGACAUGGAUCACAAUGAUCUGCUUAUGCAGUAAGUUACAGUUUCCAUAUUACAGCCUGCUUAUCUACUCAGUGACUAAGGCAACUAAUAAGGACUUUUAAUGUGACAGAGAGAAAAUGACAUUCUGACGUUUGUAUGGUUAGCUAUCUGUUCAUCAGGUGUUUAUGCGGAGUUUACCAUUGGUUUUUCAAAGAGUAACUCUGAAGUAAUUAAGAGUCCCACAAAGCUUUUUACGAGGAGUAAGGAUGCAUCUCAAAAAAAACACAUCCAGUUAAUUAGAUCCCAUGACACAAAAUAAAAUUAAAAGUCUCUGAUGUGGAUGUGCUUGUAAGGGAACGCCGCUAAAUGUGCUGUAUACCCAUCCCUGAUUUUUUGUAGCACAUUUCUUGCCAGAUGGAGGCGGCAGUCACCACUGAGCUCUUGGCAUUUCCUCACGAUUUAUUAACAGACUUCCUUUUUUCAUUAACUGUUAUUAUUUUUCAAUGGACGUCGGCCAUAGACGGUUACCCAAAGUCUUCUCGCAGGUGAGCGUCCCUGGGUGAAUGAUUCACUCACGCGUGGGCUGGGUGGGCGGCGUUUGAAGGAGAAGCACCCCCCCCAAAAUCACUCCUGGCUUUGCUUUGGCUUCAUAGCGCCAUCAUGUCCCGAAUCGGAGGCGGGGGGGUAAAAUUGGUGCAAUGAUGGUGAACAAAAAUGCGUUAGAGGCAUUGAUGAAAAGCUGAGACUGUGUGACCUUUCAGACAACAUGGCAGACGUCCGAGCGCCCUGACCUGAUUUCCGGUCUGCGCUCCUACAUGCAGACACCCUACACCGCGGUAUUCUGGAUGACUACCCCUGAAAUGCCUCCGCUGGCAGUCUUUAGCACAAUUUGGUUUUGAAGGAACCAUACAGGGGAGUUGAAUUGGUAUGAAAAUAUAUGGAUCACCUUUAAAUAUUUCACGCAGAGUCUCCCCAAAGCCACACAUGAAACAUGCACUGUGUGCCAUUUCGGCCACUGGGUGGGGCUGAUUUGCAUAUGAGGUAAUCAGGUCGGAGUUCACUAAGAGGCUGGUUGGUCGAUGUGUUCUGUGUGGCCGCCGUGUGGGAGUCGUGACAUUUCCUUUUUCCACUGGAUGCAGUUUGUCACACAGGCUGUACCCCUGUGGCUCGUUACCAUCCGGCUGCUCCCUGCUAGUCCCUUGUUUCAUACUGACUUCUCAUACAAUUUAUGACCUUUGGUACCGCAGUUGCCAUGGAGAUGACGGCUAGCGCAGGGGGGGCCCGACCGUCCCUUGAGAUUCCACAAAGGAGCCUGGAGGAGCCCGUGGGUCCCGCUCAGCACAGACGGCGCCGGCAGCAGAUCUCCAUCCGCGGCAACUGGCGGCAGGCAUGUGCUGAUCCCCCCCCCGCCAUGAAAGCAGGAAGGGAAGGAUUCUGGGAGCUCACCUGAUGCCCGUAUCCAUUUCUCCAUUUCUGAUUGGAUGCAGAAAACACCGGCUCUGUGUGGGCGGUGCUCCCUGUCUGUCUCCAUGCCAGUUCAGAAGUAUGGAGACGCCGUCAGCUAUCACCGCAAAACAUGGAGGAAAAUGCCUCUGAACGUUGACAGGUGAACUCCCACGCCAGUUAUGCCUGGAUGAACUUUGAGCUAAGGCUAAUUACGCUGAGCAGGAUUAAAGCAGAGGCACCCUACUGUGUGACCUUGAAAGAAAUAAUCAUAAUUCAAAUACCUGUCAGCAGCAAAAACAUAAAAUUAUGCUGAUGUUUCUGAGAUAUGAGUAUGUAAGGCUGCUGUCCUGCCCUGGGUGAACCCCUGCCCUGGGUGUACCCCUGCCCUGUGCCCGUUGUGGGGUUCUGGCAUUGGCUCGAGGCCCCCCAUCACCCUGGCCAACAUAAGUGGAUGAUGGAUAAAUAGAAUCGCCUUUUAUUAAAGUUAAGUAAGGCUGCAGGCCAUUGUGACUUGGGUAAAUGAUUAAAUGUAGUUAGAUGCCUGUGUUUUGACUGUGGUGACCCUCGCCAAAACAGCAGCACCAUCUGUUAUUGACUGCGCUCAGGAACAGGUCAAUUUUAUUUUUUUUAUCCUGUUCCCUACCUUGAGCCCACAGCCUCCAGGAUGGGCUCCGGACCCCCCCGAGACCCUGAAUCUGAUACUGGAUUUUAUUACCCUUACAGACGUUUGACAUAUAUUUAUUUAUUGUCUUCCUUACUUCAAUUAGACUAUUUCAAAUCUGAAAAAUUUCCUUGAGUGUGUUGGAUCCACUGUAACAUGGUUAGCAGCAGCUGACACUGUGAAUAACCAAAGGAAGCAGUGAGCUCUCCCAGUGAGCUCUCCCAGUGAGCUCUCCCAAAUGAGCUCUCCCAGUGAGCAUUCCCAAUGAGCUCUCCCAGUGAGCUCUCCCAGUGAGCUAUCCCAAUGAGCUCUCCCAGUGAGCUCUCCCAAUGAGCUCUCCCAGUGAGCUAUCCCAAUGAGCUCUCCCAGUGAGCUCUCCCAGUGAGCUAUCCCAGUGAGCUAUCCCAAUGAGCUCUCCCAGUGAGCUCUCCCAGUGAGUAUUCCCAAUGAGCUCUCCCAGUGAGCUCUCCCAAUGAGCUCUCCCAGUGAGCUCUCCCAGUGAGCUCUCCCAAUGAGCUCUCCCAAAUGAGCUCUCCCAAUGAGCUCUUCCCAGUGAGCUCUCCCAGUGAGCUCUCCCAGUGAGCAUUCCAAAUGAGCUCUCCCAAUGAGCUCUCCCAGUGAGCUCUCCCAAUGAGUUCUCCCAGUGAGCUUUCCCAGUGAGCUCUCCCAAGAGAAAGGCCAAUGUAGCAGCAGAGAUUCUUCUGGUUUUUUUCUUCGACAUCAAAACAAGAUUGUAGCAGGAAGAUGAGUCAUUUUUCUCAGAUUUUACUUCUGAAACAGCAUCUUCUUACAUCUUGUAGAGGGCUCAUCAGGAUCUAACACAAUCUUUUAGAGACGUCUCAGUCUAUCUUUGCUCCAAGUAUCUGAGGACACUUUCAAAUGGAGUUACUGUGACGUUUCGUAAGAUCCAACCUGGCAAUGACGCAGCCUAGAAUCUCAGGUGACACUCAUAACUCACUUUUGUAUCGCUGCUUUGGCGUUACUUUUUCCAGCAGCAGUUUUAGGCAAAUGAAUUCAGAGCAUAAAAAACUGACACGAUAUGAAGCGGAAAACAAACCAAGUAUCACUUUGGUGCUGCGUAAAACCUUUGCCAUUUGACAUUUUCUGAGCGGCGUGAGACUGUAACAGCCCACAACAGGAGAAAAAGGAAUGUUCUAGGCAGUCAAACCUGCUUUAAUCUGCUGUAGAGGGCUGGAAGCAAAGCAGAGAAUAGGUCACACAUGAAUUAGACACAGUUAAAACGUCAGAUAAGGAUGUAUAAUCACGUUUCCAGUACAGGGCAGUGGUAGUACUACACUACACUACUAAGUAUACUGCAGUAUAUGUGCUUUCAAAUCAACCUCAUACCUGAUUGGUCAACCAGGCUGCACCAAUCAGAUCCCAUCUGCUUCAUGUUUCCCAUAAGGGCACUUAAUCAGCUUCAUGAUGCAUGUGGAAACACGCGCAGCCUCUGUUGUUGCUCUGGGGAGAGCAGUUGUGCACUUUGGUGCCCUGGCACUGAACUGGCAUUGAAUCACGGGAUUCUCUCCCACUCCACCAGCUCCCUGAAAAGCGCUUUUCCGUCAGAUACUUACAAGCUUCAGAGGUGUAAUUAACUUUCUGAAGGGAUAAAAUGUUUUUCUUGUAGGUUAGUGCUCCUUUGGCUGUUUGUAUUUUGGACUUUAUGUCAUUUUAGGCUGUGUGACACACACGGCAUUUCACCUGAACAAUUAAAAUGCUCUUGGUAACAUAUUAGGUCACAUGGUGGCAGACUUCGUGGUUGUCUUUAAAUGAAUGACUUCAGAUUCUGCUUCGGGGGGGCUGCCUUCUCUGUCACAUUCGUACUGGUUUCCCAGCACCCUCUGUAUUUUUUAAUGAACAUGGCCUGCUGGCCAGGUCCGGCGCAGCCUGUGUUUGGUCACAUCAGGGACAAAGGCACAGGGACACAGACACAGGGACACAGACACAGGGCCACAGGCACCGCCCCCCCCUGGAUUUUGUCAAAUCCCUACCUUGAUCCCCCGUCUGGGGGCAUGCCGCGGGGGUGCUGACCCGCGAAAUCGAUGCAAUCCUCCAGCGCCAGUGGCCUAAACAGGGCAGUAGAGUCACUGUGGAACCCUGAGAAUCUCUCACAGAAUGGGGUGGGGCCUGACGGGGGGAGUGACCAGCGACUCACGGCGACAAAGAGCCCAAGACCUCCGGCAGGUGUCCGCGGUGCGGGCGGACAGAGGUGAGAAAAGGGACGACGGCCAGAAUUUCCAGCAAAGCGGUUCAUUUCUCAGUAGGAAGCGGAUUACAGUUUAACCAAAAACCAAUUUCCCAUUUACUUAGUGUGCGAACAGCUAGCAAGACACCCCACUGCUGGGGCAGGGCAGGGCUUUAUUUAGUGCGCUCUCCACCCUGCCACUGGGGUGCCCACCUAAUCCGCAUCAGGCGGGGGGCACUAUGACCUGUGACUGGGUUUGUAAACUACCAUUUCAAUUAAAAUGACCUGGAUUUCUCUUAAUCACUGAGUUGUUGCUGUGUGCUGAUUGGUCGGUCUCCUAUAAUCAUGCGCAUGUCACUAAUGUUAAAGUGAAACAGCUGGAUGAGUUUGUAAAACCUGAAGUAGCUCAUUCCGCCCCAUCCCCCCCCCCCCCCCCGGAUGUCUAUUCGAUGGCCCUACCUGCCACCCAUGGUCAUGCCCACAUGCUCGUAACUCUAGCUUUAAAUCCUGGUUUAUGGUGCGGAUAUGAAGGUCUUUCACACAGCUGUUCAUUCGGAUUCCUUACUCUUCAUUACGUCACAUGCAGUUCGGCACAUCAGGCUAGCAUGCCGGCCCACACAGAGUUUAGGAUUUGACAUUUAUUUGCCGUUCAUCCUGUCCUGCUGGUUGUUGGGCUAAUGUAAAGCCUGCCUUUAAAAGGCUGCUGUGAAUUUGUGGUGCCGAAGUCACUUCCGAAUGGCAUUUCAGAGACUUGAGGCGUGAGGCCUGUGGAAUGCUCUGUGAAGGCAGCGUGAAUGCCAGAGCCUUCACACGCUUGGGUAUAUGUAACGGAAGUUUGAUUCACCCGCUAAUUGUUAAUUACUCUCACUAAGAGGUGUGAGGUAAUCACAUGAUGCAUCUUGCAGUGUCAAUGUGUAAUGCUUUACGCUCCCGUGUCCGGCGACUCCCUGGAUUUCAUCCGGCGACACCUGCACGCUCUUCGGCUCUCCGUGGGCAUCCAAGGAAUGCUGUGAAGAUCCCAGCCCGCUCCAAGCCUGCUAGAAGCAUCUGAGUCACCGAUGGAAUGAUCUGUGUGCGCACUCACAGGUGCCUCCUGUCCGGUGGGGGGGGUGGUUCUCAGCUUCACCCUUCUGCUGGUGGACCUCUUGGUGUCUGGUCACAGCCGACCAUCUGCAGAACCUGUGAGUCACCAGCCCAGAGCAAGCUGGGAGGUCCGGGGGCCACAGUCAGAGAGGGAGACACACUGAGGUCACGCACCCCCCCACACACACACGCACACAAACACAAGUACAGUAUUCCCACCCCCCUCGAGCCAACCCGCAUGCCCACCCUCUGCCGGAGGGUAAUUUAAGGAGGAUUGAGGAUGGAUUACAUUCCUAUUACAAGAUCCAAAGCUCAUGGGUGUCCAGCUAAAACCCAAGACAAUAUCCAGUAAGAUCCAAGAUUCAGGAAGAAGCACAUCAGUGCAGCUGCAAGUUGACGGAUUUCCCAGGUCCAGCUGCCCUUCUGUGCCCUGGAAUAACAGGAUAAUGAGAUUCCCCAAGUCACGGGGUCCUCAUUGCUACUCACCACCAGUGACUUUUGUGAUUACAUGGUUCUUUCUCAGAGUAAUAACUUGGUGCUGAAGUCUGUGGACAUUUCAGAGAACAGAUUGUUGACGUGAAACCGCUUUGUAUGUAAAUACUUUUUUACGUGAUUCAUUUAAAGCCUCUGGAAGCCAAAGUGGACCCGAUAAUCACUGAUUUGCCUGAGUUACGCCAGCGUGAGCCAAAAACUUAACAAGGAAAUCCCUUAUCUGAUUAAAACAGAGAACAACUGACAUUACAUGAAUUCCUCAUCUCUCCUAUUGUCACUUUCAGACUCUCCUGCUUUAUUUAUUGCUGUUACUGUUAGGUGUUGUCAAGGUGAUGUUGACACCUGUCUUCUAUGUGGAUGGCGUUGCUCCAGAAUAUCCUGUCUUCUGUCUGCUUCUUAAUGCUCACCAGUUCUUUGUUGUGACGACUGAGUCCCUCCAUCUUGCUGCUGGAUGCCCUCUCAAUCUUACCUUCAGCUUCUGCAACAUUAUGGGCCAAGUCUCUGGUUCUCCUCAUAAUAUUCCCGGAAUACGACACUCUGUGCAUUUGCAGCUUAUUACCAGUAAAAUCCCCUUUUUUGUACAAUGUACCCAUGACCUUGUAUGAAGGUGUGUGGCUCAGCAGGCUCUGCCUCUGUGCAUGUGAAGAUCUCCAAUUCCCGCCCCAGUCUUUGCAGAAUAGUCACAUGUCCAUUGGCACUUGA